AAACACCACAUACAACGCACACACAUACACACCACACAUACACAUAAACACACAUACCCCACAUACACAAACACCACAUACAAUACACACACAUACACACCACACAUACACACACACACACAUACCCCACAUACACAAACACCACAUACAAUAUACACACACACCACACCACACACACCACACAUACACAAACACCACAUAAAAUACACACACACCACACCACACACACCACACAUACACACUACACCCCCCCACACCCACACCUACACACUCCACACCACACACCACACACAACACACAUACAAACCACACACACACACACACCCCAUACAUAUACAAACACCACAUACAACGCACACACAUACACACCACACAUACACACACACAUACCAUUCACACCCACUGCCCUUCCCUCCCAUCCCCCAUAAUUUAAAGAGUAGCUAAGGGACUGGAUCAAUGGCUCAGUGAUUUACAACACUGGCUACUUACUCUUUCAGAGGACUGGAGUCAGAGCAGGUGGCACACCAAAACAAGCCCAUACCUUACCAUCUGUUAGGAUAAUUUAUUUCUGCUCUAGACUUCCUGGUGGUCUAGCCUUCUCUCUAGCUCAGCAAAGCUGGAGGGCCAGCUCAGCCCAGAAGCCAAAUGCUGACUGCUUCACUCAAGAAAGAAGACCCUUACAGAGGACUAAUGGGAUUUUUUUCCAGGAAGUUUUAUAGCCUUGCCACAGUUUCCUGGAACACCUGGGAGCUUUGCUGUUGCUAUGGAGACAUCAAGCAACCAAGUCACAAGAAGAAUCACAAAUCAUAAGAAGAAUUUCACUGAAGUUUGAAAUUUUUGAUAAGGAGGUUUACCAGCCUAAGCAAACCUGGAAUCUUCCAGAAGAUAUAAUUUGGCUCCUCCUCUCUGGAAAUAACCUCACAAACCCCUCCAGAGGUGUGACUUACCAUCUCCUACAUGAACUGAAAUCCAGGCAGGU
rnacentral:lncRNA from 1 species